rnacentral:rRNA from 1 species
UGGGGAAUAUUGGACAAUGGGCGCAAGCCUGAUCCAGCCAUGCCGCGUGAGUGAUGAAGGCCCUAGGGUUGUAAAGCUCUUUCGCCAGGGACGAUAAUGACGGUACCUGGAUAAGAAGCCCCGGCUAACUUCGUGCCAGCAGCCGCGGUAAUACGAAGGGGGCUAGCGUUGUUCGGAAUCACUGGGCGUAAAGCGCACGUAGGCGGAUCUUUAAGUCAGGGGUGAAAUCCCGAGGCUCAACCUCGGAACUGCCUUUGAUACUGGAGGUCUCGAGUCCGGGAGAGGUGAGUGGAACUGCGAGUGUAGAGGUGAAAUUCGUAGAUAUUCGCAAGAACACCAGUGGCGAAGGCGGCUCACUGGCCCGGUACUGACGCUGAGGUGCGGAAGCGUGGGGAGCAAAACAGGAUUAGAUACCCUGGUAGUCCACGCCGUAAACUAUGGAUGCUAGCCGUUGGGCAGCUUGCUGUUCAGUGGCGCAGCUAACGCUUUAAGCAUCCCGCCUGGGGAGUACGGUCGCAAGAUUAAAACUCAAAGGAAUUGACGGGGUCAUAGCUGUUUCCU